GUCAAGUCAGCAUGGCCUUUAUAUCCUGGGCUACACACACGCUACAAUGGCCAACACAAUAGGUUGCUAAGCCGCGAGGUGGCGCCAAUCCAUAAAGUUGGUCUCAGUUCAGAUUGUAGGCUGCAACCCGCCUGCAUGAAGAUGGAGUUGCUAGUAACCGCAGGUCAGCUAUACUGCGGUGAAUACGUUCCCGGGGCUU
rnacentral:rRNA from 1 species